rnacentral:rRNA from 2 species
UCAAGAUGAGAUUUCCCAGUAUGUAAGACCCCUUGAAGACGACGAGGUAGAUAGGCUGGGGGUGGAAGUGCAGCAAUGCAUGGAGCUGACCAGUACUAAUCGGUCGAGGGCUUAUCCAAUA